UGCUGUACCUGGGCCUCACCUGGUGUCU
rnacentral:piRNA from 1 species